AGCGAACGCUGGCGGCGUGCCUAACACAUGCAAGUCGAACGUGAAAGGGAGCAAUCCCACGUAAAGUGGCGUACGGGUGAGUAACACGUAGGUAAUCUACCCCAGAAUCUGGAAUAACCGGCCGAAAGGCUGGCUAAUACUUGAUAGAGCGACGGAAUCCGUAAUUGGGUUUUUCGGGAAAGGGAGCCUGUAAAAAGGCCUUCGUUCUGGGAUGAGCCUGCGUCCCAUCAGCUAGUUGGUGAGGUAAAAGCUUACCAAGGCAAUGACGGGUAGCUGGUCUGAGAGGAAGGUCAGCCACACUGGAACUGAAACACGGGCCAGACUCCUACGGGAGGCAGCAGGGGGGAAUCUUGCGCAAUGGACGAAAGUCUGACGCAGCAACGCCGCGGGAGUGAAGAAGGCCUUCGGGUUGUAAAGCUCUGUCGAGUGGGACGAAAAUGCUUGGAGUUCACAGCUCCAGGAACUGACGGUACCACUAAAGGAAGCACCGGCUAACUCCGUG
rnacentral:rRNA from 1 species